rnacentral:rRNA from 1 species
CAGUGCCACGGGAAUACGUAGGGUGCGAGCGUUAAUCGGAAUUACUGGGCGUAAAGCGAGCGCAGACGGUUAUUUAAGCAGGAUGUGAAAUCCCCGGGCUUAACCUGAGAACUGCGUUCUGAACUGGAUAGCUAGAGUGUGUCAGAGGGGGGUAGAAUUCCACGUGUAGCAGUGAAAUGCGUAGAGAUGUGGAGGAAUACCGAUGGCGAAGGCAGCCCCCUGGGAUAACACUGACGUUCAUGCUCGAAAGCGUGGGUAGCAAACAGGAUUAGAUACCCCGGUAGUCCCUGUCUCUUAUACA